rnacentral:rRNA from 1 species
CAAGGAUGAAAGACGGUUUCGGCUGUCACUUACAGAUGGACCCGCGGCGCAUUAGCUAGUUGGUGAGGUAACGGCUCACCAAGGCGACGAUGCGUAGCCGACCUGAGAGGGUGAUCGGCCACACUGGGACUGAGACACGGGCCAGACUCCUACGGGAGGCAGCAGUAGGGAAUCUUCCGCAAUGGACGAAAGUCUGACGGAGCAACGCCGCGUGAGUGAUGAAGGUUUUCGGAUCGUAAAGCUCUGUUGUUAGGGAAGAACAAGUGCAAGAGUAACUGCUUGCACCUUGACGGUACCUAACCAGAAAGCCACGGCUAACUACGUGCCAGCAGCCGCGGUAAUACGUAGGUGGCAAGCGUUGUCCGGAAUUAUUGGGCGUAAAGGGCUCGCAGGCGGUUUCUUAAGUCUGAUGUGAAAGCCCCCGGCUCAACCGGGGAGGGUCAUUGGAAACUGGGAAACUUGAGUGCAGAAGAGGAGAGUGGAAUUCCACGUGUAGCGGUGAAAUGCGUAGAGAUGUGGAGNGAACACCAGUGGCGAAGGCGACUCUCUGGUCUGUAACUGACGCUGAGGAGCGAAAGCGUGGGGAGCGAACAGGAUUAGAUACCCUGGUAGUCCACGCCGUAAACGAUGAGUGCUAAGUGUUAGGGGGUUUCCGCCCCUUAGUGCUGCAGCUAACGCAUUAAGCACUCCGCCUGGGGAGUACGGUCGCNAAGACUGAAACUCAAAGGAAUUGACGGGGGCCCGCACAAGCGGUGGAGCAUGUGGUUCAAUUCGAAGCAACGCGAAGAACCUUACCAGGUCUUGACAUCCUCUGACAACCCUAGAGAUAGGGCUUUCCCUUCGGGGACAGAGUGACAGGUGGUGCAUGGUUGUCGUCAGCUCGUGUCGUGAGAUGUUGGGUUAAGUCCCGCAACGAGCGCAACCCUUGAUCUUAGUUGCCAGCAUUCAGUUGGGCACUCUAAGGUGACUGCCGGUGACAAACCGGAGGAAGGUGGGGAUGACGUCAAAUCAUCAUGCCCCUUAUGACCUGGGCUACACACGUGCUACAAUGGACAGAACAAAGGGCUGCGAGACCGCAAGGUUUAGCCAAUCCCACAAAUCUGUUCUCAGUUCGGAUCGCAGUCUGCAACUCGACUGCGUGAAGCUGGAAUCGCUAGUAAUCGCGGAUCAGCAUGCCGCGGUGAAUACGUUCCCGGGCCUUGUACACACCGCCCGUCACAC